rnacentral:rRNA from 1 species
CCUACGGGAGGCAGCAGUGGGGAAUAUUGGUCAAUGGACGGAAGUCUGAACCAGCCAUGCCGCGUGCAGGCAGACGGCUCUAUGAGUUGUACACUGCUUUUGUACAAGGGUAAACCUGAAUACGUGUAUUCAGCUGAAAGUACUGUACGAAUAAGGAUCGGCUAACUCCGUGCCAGCAGCCGCGGUUAUACGGAGGAUCCAAGCGUUAUCCGGAUUUAUUGGGUUUAAAGGGUUCGUAGGCGGAUUGAGAAGGUUAAGGUGAAAUGUCCGAGCUUAACUCGGGAACUGCCUGUAAGACUGGUGAUCUAGAGAGGAGAGGAGGUAGGCGGAAUGUAUGGUGUAGGGGUGAAAUGCUUAGAGAUCAUACAGAACACCGAUUGCGAAGGCAGCUUACCAAGAUAUAUCUGACGUUGAGGCACGAAAGCGUGGGGAGCAAACAGGAUUAGAUACCCGAGUAGUC